rnacentral:rRNA from 1 species
GAGUUUGAUCCUGGCUCAGAUUGAACGCUGGCGGCAUGCCUUACACAUGCAAGUCGAACGGCAGCACGGGAGCUUGCUCCUGGUGGGCGAGUGGCGAACGGGUGAGUAAUGCAUCGGAACGUAUCCUGGAGUGGGGGAUAACGUAGCGAAAGUUACGCUAAUACCGCAUAUUCUGUGAGCAGGAAAGCGGGGGACCUUCGGGCCUCGCGCUCUUGGAGCGGCCGAUGUCGGAUUAGCUAGUUGGUGAGGUAAAGGCUCACCAAGGCGACGAUCCGUAGCAGGUCUGAGAGGAUGAUCUGCCACACUGGAACUGAGACACGGUCCAGACUCCUACGGGAGGCAGCAGUGGGGAAUUUUGGACAAUGGGGGCAACCCUGAUCCAGCCAUGCCGCGUGAGUGAAGAGGCC